AGGAACUAUGACCACAGCCUAGAUCACUUUCCUGGAUAAGAAUUUUAUUAAAUUGAAGAUGUCUCCUUUCUGAUACCAUCGAAAUGAGAUCUGCCUUUUCCUGAGAAUCCUUUCCAUGUUGGACUGUUUCUGCUAUCAUGAAACUAUUUCUCUGAAGAAAAUCCCAAAGUCUCCUGGGGAAGAUUUACUAACUUGGAGUGGAUCUGAUACCUCACUGUUGCUACAGUGCUACAGAAAAUUGGCAAGAAACUAAUGAACCAUGUUUAUGAUCUACAAAUGUGUACUGAGUGGUGAAGUAAUACACACUGACCUGCUGGGUCACUCGUUCUCCGCCUUACGCUACAUUACUACACAAACAAUCACCUUCAAGAGACGUCGUGACAGAGUUCUUUGUGAUCUGCAGCUUCUUUGAGGUUGCCCUUGUGGAUGCCAUUCUGAGAAUGACCAACUUCUGCCCUUCCUCUGAACCACACUGAUGCAGAUCAGUUUUCAUUUAAUUAAAUGGCUCCAAUUUUG